GGAAGCGUGGCCGAGUGGUUUAAGGCAACGGUCUUGAAAACCGUCGAUGGGCAACUAUCCUAGAGUUCGAAUCUAAGGUUCCUUCCA
rnacentral:tRNA from 1 species